GUCAAAGUCUGUUUCUAAGAUGUCCAGUCAGUCUUCCCAUGAUUCCUUGCAGAAAAGACAAGAAGCAGCGGCUGAAGUAGCAGCUACAGAUGAGGUGAUUAAAAUAAUGAAGACACAGCAUCAAUAUGAAGAGGAAAUCAGGAAACUUGAGGCAGAGGAUAAAAGGUUAACAGCCAAGAGAGAAGCUCAAGAAAGGGAAAUGGAAGCGGAGAAUGCAAGAAAAAGGGCCCAGUUUAUCUCAGAAAGUAAUGUCAGAAAAAUAAAGUUGGAAGAGAAGAAAAAGGAAGUAGAACGAUUGGAAGAAUUAAAAAGACAUAAUGCAGCACAAGCAAGGCUACAAGUUCAUAAUGAAUGCAUUGAAGAGGAUGAGGGAAAAAUGCGUUCUGUUCCUCUUCAACAAAAACAAGACUAUCUCUCUCAACCAAACCAACACUCUUAUUCUCCUCAAAGGUUUUCAGUCACUCAAGCUCAUGUAUCUCAGUCAGAUGCAUUAGCUUCUCCCAAUGAAGCCUCUAAUGAACUUGUGAAGGCACUUGCUGAAGCUAUUACAGCCAAUAGGAUUCCAAUUCCAGAACCUGCUGUUUUCUCAGGAGAACCUAUGAAGUAUAAUGAUUGGAAACUGUCUUUUCAGACGUUAAUUGAUCGCAAGAACUUACCAGCCCAAGAAAAGCUCUUCUUUCUACGCAAGUAUGUAAGUGGUCCAGCCAAGAAAGCUAUUGAAGGACACUUUCUGGUUGGAACUGAAGCAGCUUACACGGCUGCCUGGAACAUACUUGAAGACAGGUUUGACCAUCCAUUUGUAGUUUGCAAGUCAUACUGCGACAAAAUACAGUCAUGGCACAAAAUUGCUACCAAGGAUUGCAAAGACCUCCAGGAAUUUGUAGAUUUUUUGAGCAGCGUUGAAUCAGCCAUGCCUUAUGUUCAAGGUUUACAAGCUCUGAAUGACUGCGUUGAAAAUCAAAGGAUAUCAGCUAAAUUGCCAGAGUGGUUGAGUUCACAUUGUGAAUAGAGCAGUCACUAAAUUCCAAGAUGAAUAUAAAAUAUUCCCUGAUUUCAAAUACUUCAUUGAAUUUCUUAACAAGGAAGCUAGAAUUGCAUGCAAUCCUAUCACUUCACUGCAAGCAAUAAAGCCAGUAGAGCAAGAGAGAUUCAAGCAACCUGAUCAAGAUCACUCCAAGUUUCAACGAAAUCGCAACUCAAGUGCUAAGACAUUCACUACUAGCUCCAGUGAAAAGACUAGCAUCACGUGUGUCUUUUGUAAGAGACAUGGCCACACUCUUCAUAAGUGUCACAAGAUUAUGGAAAGACCAGUUGAAGAAAGAUUGAAGUUUUUACUGUCUGAGAAAUUGUGCUUUGGAUGUCUUAAGGCUGGUCAUAACUCUA
ensembl:lncRNA